ensembl:lncRNA
GAGUGUACAUCUGAAUGUGUGAGACUCCGCAUAAAUAUGAGCUGUCAGCAGGGAGAAGUCAUUCAUGUCGGCCUCCCGCUGGUAAUUACAAGAGGAGGUUUGACAAAGUGUGUCAACACAUGUGGCAAACAUUGGUAUAAAUUAAUAACCGAUGUGGCUGUCCAAGAUAAUAAAAGACUAAAUUAUAAUGACAGUUAUACCGUUGAGAGAGGUUAGAAUUGUCACAGCAGAUUCUGCUCAAUGGUUGAACAAAUAAAAAUAAACCAAUAAAGAAAUAGAUCAUGGAGGUUGGUUACACCACCUGGUCGAUAUGUCCAACAGGGGCUCGUUUGGUUUAAGGUGGGCAAACAUUGUAAUUUCUAAAUUCAAUUCAACCACAAGACAAAUAUUGUAUAUUACUGAAUGAAUUGUAGAGUAGUCAAAUUUAAAAAGUGAGUGUUUUGCAGGAAUUGGCAGUCCUUCUAGGUCCACGGCAGCCACUUCUUAUUUCAAUUCCAUUAGCUGCUUCCAGGGAGUGGUCCAACCCAAUCAGAGACUGAGGUGUCUUCCUAUAUAUAGAGCAUUUUUUUAAAUCCAAAACGAUGUACAGUACUUUUAAAACUCUCAAUAGCCUCUAUUGAGAGGCCUUUUUGUAAAAUAAAAACCUCUCAGACCAUUGAAAUGACACAAACAAAUAUUUGUGGCAUAAGAUUUACAAGCAGUAAAAUAAUACUCCCCCUGACCCGUAAACUCUUGGUUUGUAAAACUGGUGAAGUGACCCUUUAACAAUCUCCUCUUGACUCUCGCAGCAUUUUGUCCCUGAAGGAGAAUCUUCCACUACUUUGAAAACCCAACUACACCGACUCUUCACAGGCUCAUCCUUCAUCAGCCUGCUUGAGGGGGGGGGCUGGAUUUACUAUCUUCUGCUCUCAUGCUCUUUUGCACUGCAAAGCGUAUGAUGUACAGUACUAAGAGUUACCAAUGCUGGAGGAGCAGUAAAGGAUGGCACAUUAAAGGAUUUCUGAAUUGCACCGGGAGUCAAUAAGCCAUGAAAAAUAAUACUGUGCAGCCCUGAGUCUAUUCUGUCAAGAAGAAAGACGUCCUCUUGCUACGCCUGCUGGAAUUGGGACAUUCAUUGUUCUGUAUCCGUGGUUUGGAAACAAUGCUAUUGAUGUGGUUGGUUAAGCUGAUAUUUGAUCAUAAACCAAAAUAUUGAUCUGACGAUGGCAUCGGAUAAAAGGUUACUGCAUUUCACCCUGAUGGGAACAAGACGUUCAUACACAAGGUCGGUCAGCUUCUUCCUCUGGGGACCACCGACGUCUGUUGGAAAUGUCUGAUGCGAUUUUUGAACUUGACCCAAAUAAAAUCAGUUUGAUGAAUAACUC